UGUUGUAUUUUCCGUUUGGGAGACUUUUUCCCGUCUCUCGUUCAUUGAGUGAUUGAAUAUGUGAUUUGGGAUUGAUUUUAGGAAUGCCCGCAAGCUAUGCUGUGCCCUCGGAUCAGGUGACAACCCUACGCAGCUGUCAGUCGCCAGAACUUUUACAUUUUGUUAUUAUAUGUAGUUAUUAUAUUUAUUUGAAACGAACGCAACCGAAGUAAACACAUUUUUAACACACAUUUACUGUAACACAGGCACUUUUAGUUAAUAAACAAGACAACAAAAUAAACGAAGCGCGAUACCGACUCCGCUGCCAUUGAAAACGAGUGUCAAUUUCU